UGGGGUGUGGUUUAUCUGUAGAAUGACUGACUAGCAAAUACAAGGCCCUGAGUUCAAAUCCUAGCACCUCAA
rnacentral:tRNA from 1 species